UGUAGAAGUAGUAACUCUCCAAGUUAUAUUUUACUUAUAAAAAAGACAUCACACCACAAUAAAACACGGUUAAAUUAGUUAAAAGACUAUCUCCAAUCAAUAUAUUACUCUUAUAUUAGAAAAGGCAUGUUCAACAUGUCUGGUUAAUGUCAAUUAAAUUGAUAUCAAGGGCAAUUCAGACUUUUGAGUCAAAUAUUUAUGCUAUGUGAUCAAGGGAAAUUCAUACUUUGGAGUCAAAUAUUUAUGCUAUGUGUCUCUUAAGUUGAAGAGAAAAAGACACGUAUCAAAAUGUGUGCAGAGCACGUGUUAUCAUUCUUUCUACAAUCAAUUCAUGCUCUCUCUCUCUCCACCGCGUGUGACUUUAUGUUGUGUAAUUGGUGGGGUUUCGUGCCAUUUCUCUCUCGCUUAACUAGUGUCCCGCCGGGAGAGAAGGAAGUUCAAGAGUAGAAGAAAGCUAUUUCUCUGCUUCUAAGAAACAUUUUUUUUAAUUUCUUCUUCUUCUUAUGCUUUCUGCUCCCACAAUCUCACUUUUUCUUCUCUGUGCAGUGUUCUUUCGACAGUUUGUGAUUUUCUCAACUUUAAUCAACUUUUCAUCAUCUAUGAGUUGGAGAAGUACGUGAAUUCGCGAAGAGAAUAGUGAGGGAGAAGUUGAAUGAGAGAUCGUCGUUGGAUUCAGCAGGUACAUUUUCUAGGUACUAACACUGAAGGUACAUUUCUAGGUACUAACACUGAAGAAAUUAGGAAUUGCAGUUGGAGAAGCUGAGGCCUUUUUCAUGGUAACAUGUUCAUCUGGGUUUUCUUAGUUUUUGGAGAUACUACCAAUAGAUGAUUUUGGAUGGGGUAACGACAUGCACGUGCUUUUUUUUAAUUUACUUUGAUUAUUUUUUUCUUUUGUUUAUAUGUUAUUCCAACAAAUGCAAAAUUAUGCACCCUAGAUGUUUGAUUAUUUGCCUAAGAAAACUGAUUAAUAUUUUUUUAUAUAUAAUUUUUAAAUCUGUGUUGGUGAUUUGCACUUGUUUCUUAUUCUUCCUCGCCGUCUUUAUAUCUUUGUUUUAGUUGUUCACCAAUUUUUUUUUGUGUUUCUCCAUUUUCUUGAUUCUUCUUUCACAGGUUUAACAACAAUUUAAGUUUACUCAUUGUGAUUCAUAUAUUAUUUCUUUUUAAUUUCACUGUAAGUGCUAGCAAUUUAGCAGAUCCUUUUAAGCCUAUAAAUUUUAUAAUUGUGGAACUCAUAUUGUUUUCCUGCAAUUGGUUUCGGGUAUGUUCUUUUGCAUUAAAAGUUAUAGCAAGGUGAUUUUAUUUCAUUUAGCGGAUGAGUAUGUUUGGAGAUUUCUUUAAUGCCACCGAUCAAAUUAGUUGUCUUCCAUAGACAUUUUUAACUCUUCUUUUUCAUUAUCAUCUUUCAUUUGCUCUGUCUCUUUUUGAGUUGGUAACUGUUUGGGGUCGAAGUGGUUUCUAUUGUUUAAUUUUUUCCUUUACUUGAAUGCUUUUAACUAGCUAGAUUCUAUAUGCAUUAAUUUCAACUUUUUGCCUCAUUCUCAUUGCUAGAUGUACAUCAAGAAAGGAAAAAAAGAUCUUUAGAAAUUUCUCUAGCAGUGUGAGAACAUUAGCCGACGCUUCCUCUUAAAAGACACUAUUGGAUUAAUUAUUGAGUUUUUGGGCAUAAUAUUUUUUCCCUUUAUCUCAAUUUGAGUUGUAAGUUAUAUCAGGUGUGUGCCUUAUUACGACUUUUUCUUUCUUUUUUGUUUAAUUAAGGUAUGCAAUUACUGCUAAUAGAGUUUGAUGAACGUUUUAGGUGUUUGAUAAUAUGCCUAAAAUAGUUGAUAUUUUUUUUUAUUAAUUUUAACUUUUCUCUUUUGAUAGAUGUUUUACAACUUGUAGCAGAUUAUUUCACUUCACUGAAUUUGAAAGAAAUUCUAGCUUUGUUGAAGGAAAAUAUGGCUGUCAAUCUACCAUAGAUAUAGUGAUGCAGAGAAUGAAGAUUAGAAACACCGUAUAAAUACAACAAAGAGAGACCUUUUUAGCAGAUGAUCAUGCCUCCAUCUCCAGCAUGAUGAGUUGCGACAUAAAAUUUUUAUCAGGCCUGAUAAUUAUUUAAGCUUUCAUUCACCACAUUUUCUUCAAUCUUCUUCACUCUGAUCAAUCAGUAGAUGAUUUGAAAUGGAAUAAAUGUGAAUCAGGUGUUUCAACAUCUACUGCUUGUGCUUUUUGUGUUGUUAUUUUGCUAAUGAUUAAUUGGAUAUGCUCCUAUAUUGAUUGA